rnacentral:ncRNA from 1 species
UUAAUUAGCGCCAGACCUUUAAAUAGGUGACGAGGAUAACAGUUAUCGAAAAUUCGGCGGAUGCUGUUACGGUUUAUGUAGUCGUUAGAUAUAUUUUAAAAAGUAAAAUCAAGAUUAUAACAAAGAAUAUAUC